UUUGUUUUCACAAUUUUGUUGGUGCAAUUAGUCUGAAUUGUCUUAGAAUGUUACAAGUGUAUUUCACAUUGAUUAUACCUUCUAGAGAUUUUGGAAAGAUUCAAUAUUUAGCUAAUUUUGCUAAAUUAUAUGAUGAUUCACUUUAUGAGGUGGCCUAAGGUUAGUUUGAGGGCAAAUAUGAUUUUUAUUAAUACAAUUGUCAUGGAGUAGCUUAUUCCACCUUUUCUCUACUUUGUUCCUUAUGCUUGUUUUCUCUAUCAUGACCCUGAUUCAAUCACUAACCGACCUAAUGAACGUUAAAUGCAUGAGAAUUCAAAAGAAGAUUCAUGAUAUAGGAUUCAUGGAGUGGGCUUAUGUAAUUGUCUUGAAUCUUGGAUACCUCUGGUGUGAAAAAUGUAGUUUAUAAUAUAUGAUAUGCAAUUUGAUUUGAUUUUGCACCUUUUUAUGUUGAGACAAGAUUCAAGAUUUGGCAAUAUUUUGUUUUGCUAAAGCAUUAGAUAAUGUUUUGAUGUGGCUCUUUGGCAUAGAAUUUGAUGUUGAGGAUGAUAGUGGUAUUUUGAUGAUUAAUACAAUAAUCAAGAGUAUGUUACAAGUUAAUUCGAUACAUCAUUUAUAAGUCUGUCAC
rnacentral:lncRNA from 1 species